rnacentral:rRNA from 1 species
UACGGAGGAUCCGAGCGUUAUCCGGAUUUAUUGGGUUUAAAGGGUGCGCAGGCUGGGGAUUAAGUCGGCGGUGAAAUUUUGCAGCUCAACUGUAAAAGUGCCUUCGAAACUGGUUUCCUUGAGUGUAGAUGAAGUAGGCGGAAUUUGUGGUGUAGCGGUGAAAUGCUUAGAUAUCACGAGGAACUCCGAUUGCGCAGGCAGCUUACUAAACUACUACUGACGCUCAGGCACGAAGGCGUGGGGAUCAAACAGGAUUAGAUACCCUGGUAGU